rnacentral:rRNA from 1 species
UACAGAGGUGCUCAAGCGUUUGUUCGGAUUCAUUGGGCGUAAAGGGUGCGUAGGCGGCGCGGUAAGUCGGGUGUGAAAUCGUCGGAGCUUAACUCCGAAACUGCAUUCGAUACUGCCGUGCUUGAGGACUGGAGAGGAGACGUGGAAUUUACGGUGUAGCGGUGAAAUGCGUAGAUAUCGUAAGGAAGACCAGUGGCGAAGGCGGGUCUCUGGACAGCUUC